rnacentral:rRNA from 1 species
GACGAACGCUGGCGGCGUGCUUAACACAUGCAAGUCGAACGGAAAGGCCCUGCUUUUGUGGGGUGCUCGAGUGGCGAACGGGUGAGUAACACGUGAGUAACCUGCCCUUGACUUUGGGAUAACUUCAGGAAACUGGGGCUAAUACCGGAUAGGAGCUCCUGCUGCAUGGUGGGGGUUGGAAAGUUUCGGCGGUUGGGGAUGGACUCGCGGCUUAUCAGCUUGUUGGUGGGGUAGUGGCUUACCAAGGCUUUGACGGGUAGCCGGCCUGAGAGGGUGACCGGCCACAUUGGGACUGAGGUACGGCCCAGACUCCUACGGGAGGCAACAGGGGGGAAUAUUGCACAGUGAGCGGGAGCCUGAUGCAGCAACGCCGCGUGCGGGAUGACGGCCUUCGGGUUGUAAACCGCUUUCGCCUGUGACGAAGCGUGAGUGACGGUAAUGGGUAAAGAAGCACCGGCUAACUACGUG